rnacentral:rRNA from 1 species
CCUCGGGUGGCAGCAGUGGGGAAUAUUGGGAAAUGGGCGCAAGCCUGACCCAGCAACGCCGCGUGAAGGAAGAAGGCUUUCGGGUUGUAAACUUCUUUUGACAGGGACGAAGCAAGUGACGGUACCUGACGAAUACGCCACGGCUAACUACGUGCCAGCCGCAGCGGUAAUACGUAGGUGGCAAGCGUUAUCCGGAUUUACUGGGUGUAAAGGUCGUGUAGGCGGGACUGCAAGUCAGAUGUGAAAACCACGGGCUUAACCUGUGACCUGCAUUUGAAACUGUAGUUCUUGAGUACUGGAGAGGCAGACGGAAUUCCUAGUGUAGCGGUGAAAUGCAUAGAUAUUAGGAGGAACACCAGUGGCGAAGGCGGUUUGCUGGACAGCAACUGACGCUGAGGCGCGAAAGCGUGGGGAGCAAACAGGAUUAGAUACCCGUGUAGUC